AGGCUGGUUCAACAGAGGAGAGAAAGGGAUGAUGGCCUUUAAAGCGGCAGGGAACAAAGAUAAAGGCGAGCGAGCAAGCAAAGGCCGCCUGCCUUCGCUCCCAACAGGCAUGCUCUCCACGGCAACUUGAUUACUCCGAGCUUCAUCACCACGAUGAGCUGGGCCUAAUCGAGAAUCCCACUACCCAGCAUUGGUCAUUCAGAGCUCAUCAAUGCCCCCCAUCGACCGGUACACAGAGUUCAUGCUGCGCAUUAAAGGAGCAGCCACCGAACCCGGAGACAGGGUGGGGGUGGUCGGGCUCGCAAAAGAAGCCCCCAAAGGUCGCGGCCGGCGGUGGGGACGGCGCCAGGGCGUGCGUUGGGUGGCGCGGGGUCUCACGAGCAACAGGUAAGGCAAUCACUCCCACCUGUUCGUUGCUGCUUUUGCUCGCCAGUCGCCAUGAGUAGGUUGUGCAUGAGGCCAGUGUGACCUAACUAUCACAGCGAGUGUUCGUCCCCAUCUCCCUCGCUUGUCCUUGAUUGGUUCAGAGAGCAUUUCCAGUUUUGUAGCUUCGUGUUAGCUUGCCCCAGGAGGCGUAGCAUGCGCGUGUGUUACUUUUCACCAACCCGAUAGCUAAGACACACACAACCAUGGCAUGGCCCCUUGUGAUGAUUGAGGGAGGAGAGAAAGAGUGUCAAAUGAGAUGAUUAAAGGUCCGACCUCAAUGACAAGUAUGAAGAUGACUUGAAUCUUGGUUGAUACUUGGAAGUUGGUGACAUGGAUCUAUCUAUUAAGCAAAAUUGGAACAUGAUCAUGAUGACGGGCAAGAUCGAUUCUGGUGCCAUGUGUUCGAUGAAAGUCCUCUUGGUGGUGUACUUGGGAAAGGACAUCCUUUGUUGAAGUUAAUAUGGCGAACUGACAGCCCAAUUAAACCUAUAUCACCCAAUUAAACCAUUCCUUCUUGCUUCCUUGUGCAAAUCUUGUCGUUCAUCAACCAUACACAUAUUUUAUUAUGCUUUUUUUUUUAUUGACUAUGCAUAUAGAGAUAAAUAUCAUUUACAAAUGUUAUGUAAUUGAUUGGUCCUAACCAUAGUAUCUUUUUCUCAUUUUUUUUCUAUUUACAUGUUAUGUAAUUCUAUUUUUUUUUCUCUAACCCUAAUAUCCUAUUAUUAACCCUAGUACACUGAAUAUAGAAUAGUCAAAUAAAAUAUAAUUAUUGCUGGUCCAAACCCUGAACACAUACAUAGGUAAAAGAAUAAGAAGGUACAUGACCUGCUCUUUUGGGGUCCAUCAAAUUUGGUACAAAGAGACGAUGGAGAAUGGUGUCAUUCAAGUUUCAUUGGCUUUCUCUUGGAGGCUUCUGAGGCAAGGUUGUUGUUUUUGGUACAAACUAGGGUUCUAGAAAUAUAUUUGUGCAGUGCCACAUUGUUAGGGUCUGUGGGUAUGUUCCCUUUGGCAUUGUAUAUGUAAUGCAACUUAGUGCUUGUGAGUAUUAGGACAAAAGAGAAUAAGAUGUAGCUGGUGGACAGGAAGUAAAGGGACUGAGGACAAGAGAGGAGUCAUAAAAUUGAAGGUGGCCAGCAUUUUAGAUUGGGAUCAGCACACUUGUAUGCUUUUGUCCCCUUUAAGAUCACAAUUCUUUAUUUUAUUCAUGUAUUUAUUUUGAACGAUGGAAGAUGACAUAGAGCAUCAUCAAAAGUUCAAAAAUAAUCAAUUAGAACAAUGAAGAUAUUUUUUUUAUAUAGUUAAUUUUCUUAAAUUUUAUCUCAAGGAAUUAAGAUUUAAAAUAUCUGGAUGAAUAUUUAUCUAUGUAUUAUAUUAAAAUUUAUAAAUUUGACUGUGCUAUUUUCAACUUGGAAAGAAUAAGUUCAUAGAAUCCCUCCUCAAGAUUUGAAGCCUUAAAGAAAUUAGGUUUUUGGAGCCCACAAACAAACCAAGGAAGUGAAUCUCAAAAAACAAAGAAUAGUGAGUUAAUUGCUCUAAUGUAGAAUCAAGAAGGGUGGAUGAGAGAAUAGUGAGGAUAAGAAUUCUAACUUGGAAAUGGUUUUAUAAAACAUCUUGAAUUAAGCCCUCUACCAUUUAGAAAACAUAAACCAAUUCCAUAUUGUGCACAGUUCAAUGAAAUAUAUUCCAAGCUUAAUCGAUUCAUGAAUUCUUAAAUAUUUUGGUAGCUGAUGAGGUGGGUGGGUUAAUUGCUUCAACAAGGACAAGAGAAUGACUUGUAUUAGUGAAGAUUGUGUUUAGGUUUCCAAUUUUAAGGGUUGUUAAGUCAUUAUUUUAAUUAGUCAAAAUUAAAGUGAUCUAAAAGUUAUUUAGCUAAGGGACAUAAUUAUUAUAAAAAUUAAUUAUGUGAAUAUCAUCAGUCAUAUUCCUAAUUUAGUGACGAGAUAAGUUAGAAAUAUAAAACUCUUGAGGCAUAAUUACAUAUUCAUCAGUUAUGAAUAUAAUCAUAAUUGUAGAUUCAUCAGUUAUGGUCCCCGGUUGCGGUUGCGGUAUCGAAUAAAGUUUUUCUUCACCCGUCAAAGAGAAAUCUAAAGUUCUUAAGGAUAUUAUACAAUUGGAAGG